rnacentral:rRNA from 1 species
CGUAGGUGGCAAGCGUUGUCCGGAUUUAUUGGGCGUAAAGCGAGCGCAGGCGGUCUUUAAGUCUGAUGUGAAAGCCCCCGGCUUAACCGGGAGGGUCAUUGGAAACUGGGAGACUUGAGUGCAGAAGAGGAAAGCGGAAUUCCAUGUGUAGCGGUGAAAUGCGUAGAUAUAUGGAGGAACACCAGUGGCGAAGGCGGCUUUCUGGUCUGUAACUGACGCUGAGGCUCGAAAGCGUGGGGAGCAAACAGGAUU